UGGCAAGCGUAUAUGCAAUUUUUCUGCUAUAUACAGAGUGUAUCCUGAAUAGCAGCAGGGAAAAAACAAAACAGCUGAUGGUUUUGAUCAGUUUACCUUGAAUUACAUACAUCAGAGAGAAAAUUGGCAGAAAACCCAUGACUUUACUGCUUAGGUGCCUGUGAAGCAUCCUUCUGAGCAAGGGAUGCAAGCACUGAUGCAAAGCUGCUAACAGACCUGUGAGGCACUCAGAUACCAGCAGUGGAGUUUGUACUGCAGCUGUGAGAGUGUGCCCAAAUCUCUGUGCCCCCCUGCCCCCAUGCCAUGUAUACACACUCAGUAAAGGAAUUGUGGACGUGUUGCUUGUGCAGAGCUUAUGCCAUUGCUUCUGGAGUUAUUUCUUCUCUCUUCUCUCUGCUUUUUUUUCUCUUGGUGCAAAGAAGCACAUCAAAGCUGCUUCAGAGGGCUGCUUCAGUACUUUCCUCUGAAUCUUUGUGAAAUGGAGACACUAGAGAUGCAGCUGGGGACUGCGUAACUUCAGCUAGGCUGGAAAACACUCUGCACAGGUGAGGAAUAGGAGAAGACGUACAGCUAUCAAGUGUCAGUUAGAGAAAAUGCUUAAGGAACUCUUCUCCAGGUACAGUGCCUCUAGACAGCAUUCAGUGUAAGAAAAGGCACCAAAUACUGAACUCAGCAUCAGAAUCAGCCAGGAAGGAUGAGAGUUGAAGCAAUGGACUGGGAGAGCACAGUGGUUCAAAGCUUAAAGUUGUUCCUGCAGGUCUGUUAGCUGAGUGAAGUUGAGGUUAUGACACAUUACACAGUUUUGAAGACAGGCUGGUAUUUUGUAGUAAAUUCAUGGGACUUCCUCAGGGCAUCCCUGUAAAAUGGCUUCUGCAUUAAGCAAUUUUUUAGUAUAGGAAGAGAUCAAGAAAAUAAAGCUCAAAGCUUCCUCCAAGAGACUCCAAGGCAGCUGAUGUAACCCUGUCAUUGCAAUUUCUUGUGGUGUGUCUUGGAGUAGCUAGGUCCUUCAGGUGAGCCAGUAAGCAUUAAGCCUGAGCCCAAACCCCUGUGAUGUGAAUCAGUGCAGGCAGCUUCUGUGACAUCACUAUUUGACAGAGGUCUUGAGAUGCAAACUCAGGAGUCGGCUUGCACAUGCUCCCCAGAACUGGGCUCGGUCUGAUGGGCUUGUCUACAUGGAGCAGUACAGCAGCAUGGGAGGGUGCCUACAGCAGAUCAGACCUGCAUCCAGUCCCAGCUCCAUUGUGAGAAGUGCAGCUUCGGGCCAUUAAGGAUGAGGAACACACCAAUGCAUCUCAAUUCUUCCUGAUCCUGGUGCAGUAGCCCCAGUUUUGAGGUCCUGCAGCACAUUGCCGUGUGCCAUGCAGUCCUUCAGCUCAGCUCCUGAGCAGGCGCUGAAAGACCCCACAGAGAAGGAAGGACGAGAGAACCCCAAAUGCCAUAGCACCUGCCCUUUCCUUGAUAUCACAGUCAUGCAACCUCUAUUCAUUCCAUUAUUCAAAGAAGAAGUACAACAUAUCCCUGGUGAAAACUACACGUGAAACUACAUGUGAAACUACACUGCCAGGAAAGAAUUCAGAGAGGUUUGUAUUUUCUGAAAAGAGCUGCAACAAUUUACUUGUACUGGGGCUUCUUCUCCAUACAUAUUUAUGGGUUCUGUUUACACAAAUAAAGCAAUGUGUGAAAUUCAA